AUUGAACGCUGGCGGCAGGCCUAACACAUGCAAGUCGAACGAGUGGCGGACGGGUGAGUAAUGCUUGGGAAUCUGCCUGCUGGAGGGGGAUAACUACUGGAAACGGUAGCUAAUACCGCAUACCAUCAGAUGAUCCCAGAUGGGAUGGGCUGGUUGGUAGUGUAAGGGCUCACCAGGCCGACGAUCCCUAGCUGGUCUGAGAGGAUGACCAGCCACACUGGGACUGAGACACGGACCAGACUCCUACGGGAGGCAGAAGUGGGGAAUAUUGCACAAUGGGCGCAAGCCUGAUGCAGCCAUGCAGCGUGUAUGAAGAAGGCCUUCGGGUUGUAAAGUACUUUCAGCGGGGAGGCGUUACCCACAGAAGAAGCACCGGCUAACUCCGUGCCAGCAGCCGCGGUAAUUC
rnacentral:rRNA from 1 species